GGGAAGCCGCGCUUAGGAGGCGCGGCUGUGGUGGUUUCUGCGGCUCUGACGCCCGGAAGUAAAUUUCCGCGGAAGAGGACGCGCACUCGACGUCCUUCAAAGCCGAACUCACCGUCUCACGUUCGCGCCUGUUUCUUCUCAAAAGCGUGGGAUUUGGGACAAGACAGCGAGUCUAGGGGAUAACGAAAUACACAUCCCAGCUAGCGGUGGCCUGCUGGCUUCAAGUGUGCAGUCCCUGGAAUGCUGGCCCACACAGGCUUGGUACUCAGACAGUGGGCUCACAAACUGCCUGGACCAGUACCUGCUUAGUGUCUAGGUGUCCUGCAACUCAGAACGUUCAGCCCACUGUUCUCUAUGUGAAUGGGCCCCCUGGAGUUGUGUGACUAUCAACGCUGGCCUGAUAAUAUUUUACUGAUGAAUAAACAAAUGAAUGAGUGGCCUCAGCUGAGUGGGGAAGAGUGCUGCAGAGACUGAAAUUUGGGCAAGAGUCAUUCUGGAUUACAUAUAAUUGGUUGUUCAAAUUAAUGAUCUUAAUGGUUUUUACUCACUUCUAUUUACAGUCUAGAAGAGAUGAACAUUUCAAGGGCUUAAAAGAGCCACUUGUUCUGAUUAUAAAAGUGUCACAAGUUCAUUUGUAGGAAACUUGAAAAAUGCAGCAAAAUACAGAAAAAUAAAAUUAGAUAUUAUAAACAAUGCCAUAAUUGGAUGGAACUAUCUUGGGGUGUUUAUGUCAAUAAUAUUUGAAACUGAUUAUAAGCCAUAUUGAAUAUAUAUUUGGUCACUGAUUCCUUGAUUCCAAAAGUAUAAAUUACGUAAAACAUAAAGAAUUUAGAGUUAUCAUUGAGAUAUUUUUUCCUUUGUUAAUCAUUUCAUUUAGCAAAUAUUUUCUGAACAUAAAACAUGAGUAACGUGACACUCUGAAGAAUAUAAAGAUAAAUUGAACAUUAAUCUCAUGACUCCAGUACUUAGAGAUUAUUAGGGUGAUCAGACACAUUUGUGACCUUAAUACAAGGCAGUAAGGAUACGUGACUUAAGAAAGCUGCUGUCAGCCAGAGUGAACUUUUUUUUAAAAGUAAACUGGGUCAUGUCAUGUGUCUGCUUAAAACUUUCACUGGAUCGUCAUCGAAUUUAUUUUUAUUUUAAUUAAAUAAUUUUUUAUUAGGAUAUAAUCCACAUAUCAUAAAAUUCACUUUUUAAAGUGUACAACUCAUUAAAGUUGUGUAGAUAUUUAAAUAAAAUCCAAACCCUUAACAAUGGCCAAUAGCUUUGUGUAAUCUGGCUCUUGCCUGCACCUCUCCAAUUUAUUUCCUGACACAUUUGCCUUUGCAGUUGAUGUUGACUUAACCUAGAAUCCUGGAGUGCUUUUUCUGCUGGCAUUUAACACAGCUGGCUCAUCUUGGGGGUCUCAACUGAAAUGAUACCUCUGCAGAGAAAUUUUUUCUGAAACAGUCUCCAAAAUAGCCCUCCCAUCUUACCCGACUACUCUUUGUCAUAUCACAAAAUAUUGAUUUUCUUCAUUGAAUUUACUUACAAUCUGUAAAUGGUUAUA